AGUACAUCUGCCGAAACCUUAGUGGAUUGAUUAGGCGACUUUAAAUAAAUAUAAUCCUCGGGAGCAUCCCGAGCACUAGCCAUCACUGCGGAUGGUGACAUUACCAGUUUGCGGGAACACUCAGCCUCGCUGGGUAAUCCGCAGUCACUAUAGUGACUCACAGGCUAAAUGGUAAUGGGCAUGGCUGUUAAGGCAGCUAGGCUUCAGAUAUAGUCGGUCCCCAGAUAACUCUGGGAGUCUUAAAGGAAUUUGGGCGCUUUGCAGUCCCAGGACAGUUCAUGUCAUAUUUUCCCUUAAGCGAGUCAACGUUCCGUAGGUGAACCUGCGGAAGGAUCAUUA
rnacentral:rRNA from 1 species